CGUCCAUCAGGGAUGUGGUGUUCAUCUGUUUGUCCUCUCUCACCAAGAUGUGGGUGGGGCUUGGCCAGGCGACAUUCCAUAUUUGACAGGUGGAGCUCUGCACACUUACAGCCACCUCCAGGGAGAAUUGGACAGAGAGCGUUUCAGCACUGAUCUAAAGAGGACUGUAGAGACGCACACAGGCUACAAGGCUGAGCUCAGGAUAUUUGUCAGCAAAGAUUUACGCGUGUCCGGCUGUUACGGGCUGUUUGUUCCUGGUUCUAACCCUGGACGUGUCACCUUGGCCACCCUUGACACGUGGACCACACUGGCUGUGGAGCUCGCACACACCAGAGCUCUGGAUGAGACGAGGGGCGUCGCCAUACAGGUUGUUUUAUCUUACACCCUCCAGACAGGAGACCGGAGGACCAGGGUUCACACUCUGACCCUGCGGUGCUCACGUCAGCUACAGGACACCUUUCGUCACUACCAGGCCCAAACACUACUCACCUUCUACUGCAAGAAGAGUAAGGAGUUUGCACUG